AUGCUAGUUAAACAGGUGCUCUACCACCUGAGCACUCCACCAGCCCUUUAUGGCUAUUUCUUAAUCAGUGCUUACAAAGAUGGUAAACCCAUGUUAAUGCCAGGGAAAUACUGGAGACUGCAUUGGAACAUUUUCGGGUUAUAAAGGUGAUGUUUGGGGGUGCAACAUUGAAUAAGGAUACCACCAAAGUCGAUACAGCAGUCACAGAUUUCACAGCCAAAGUGUGGGAUGCUGUCUCAGGAGAUAGAUUGAUAACCCUGGCUUAUAAACAUUGUCAAGACGGUGGAUUUUAUGCAGGAUAGUAAUUAUUUGUUAACUGGGGGACAGAAUAGACUGUUACACAUAUAUGACUUGAAUAAACCUGAAGCAGAGCCUAAGGAAAGCAGUGCUUACAAUUCUGGUUUUAAAAAGGCUUUAUGGUGCAGUGAGGAUAAGCAGAUUCUUUUAGCUGAUUAUAAAACGGUUUGCCUUUGGGAUCAGGCUACUAUGACAGAAGUGAAAUCUCUAAAUUUUAAUAUAUCUGUUAGCAGUAUGGAAUGUAUUCCUGUGGGUGAGAUCCUGGUUAUUACUUAGGGAUGAUCUGUUGCUUUUCGUAGUGUAAUAAAUUUGGAUCCACUUAGAUCUUUUGAAGCUCCUGCAUCCGUCAAUUCUGCAUCUCUUGAUCCUGAGAAUUCCUUGCUGCAGGUGGUGAACAUCUUAAACUUUAUAAGCAUGAUUGUAAUAGUGGGGAAGAAUUAGAAUCCUACAAAGGACAUUUUGGUCCCAUUCACUGUGUGAGAUUUAGUCCUGAUGGAGAACUCUAUGCCAGUGGUUCUGAAGAUGGAAUAUUGAGAUUAUGGUAAACUGUGGUAGGAAAAACCUAUGGCCUUCAGAAAUGUGUGCUUCUUGAAGAAGAUAGUGGUGAGCUGACAAAGCCAAAGAACAGUUUUCCGGAGACAAUAGAAGAGGAGCCAGAAGAAAUUGCUUUUGAGAAUUCAGGUUCCAUCUAGUCUUCAACUCCUGAAGUUAGGGCCUGA